UUUACUCGAGAGUUUGAUCCUGGCUCAGGAUGAACGCUGGCGGCGUGCUUAACACAUGCAAGUCGAACGGUGAAGCCAAGCUUGCUUGGUGGAUCAGUGGCGAACGGGUGAGUAACACGUGAGCAACCUGCCCUGAACUCUGGGAUAAGCGCUGGAAACGGCGUCUAAUACUGGAUAUGAGCUGCGGAGGCAUCUUCGUGGUUGGAAAGAUUUUUCGGUUUGGGAUGGGCUCGCGGCCUAUCAGCUUGUUGGUGAGGUAAUGGCUCACCAAGGCGUCGACGGGUAGCCGGCCUGAGAGGGUGACCGGCCACACUGGGACUGAGACACGGCCCAGACUCCUACGGGAGGCAGCAGUGGGGAAUAUUGCACAAUGGGCGGAAGCCUGAUGCAGCAACGCCGCGUGAGGGAUGACGGCCUUCGGGUUGUAAACCUCUUUUAGCAGGGAAGAAGCGAAAGUGACGGUACCUGCAGAAAAAGCGCCGGCUAACUACGUGCCAGCAGCCGCGGUAAUACGUAGGGCGCAAGCGUUAUCCGGAAUUAUUGGGCGUAAAGAGCUCGUAGGCGGUUUGUCGCGUCUGCUGUGAAAUCUGGGGGCUCAACCCCCAGCCUGCAGUGGGUACGGGCAGACUAGAGUGCGGUAGGGGAGAUUGGAAUUCCUGGUGUAGCGGUGGAAUGCGCAGAUAUCAGGAGGAACACCGAUGGCGAAGGCAGAUCUCUGGGCCGUAACUGACGCUGAGGAGCGAAAGGGUGGGGAGCAAACAGGCUUAGAUACCCUGGUAGUCCACCCCGUAAACGUUGGGAACUAGUUGUGGGGUCCAUUCCACGGAUUCCGUGACGCAGCUAACGCAUUAAGUUCCCCGCCUGGGGAGUACGGCCGCAAGGCUAAAACUCAAAGGAAUUGACGGGGACCCGCACAAGCGGCGGAGCAUGCGGAUUAAUUCGAUGCAACGCGAAGAACCUUACCAAGGCUUGACAUACACGAGAACGCUGCAGAAAUGUAGAACUCUUUGGACACUCGUGAACAGGUGGUGCAUGGUUGUCGUCAGCUCGUGUCGUGAGAUGUUGGGUUAAGUCCCGCAACGAGCGCAACCCUCGUUCUAUGUUGCCAGCACGUAAUGGUGGGAACUCAUGGGAUACUGCCGGGGUCAACUCGGAGGAAGGUGGGGAUGACGUCAAAUCAUCAUGCCCCUUAUGUCUUGGGCUUCACGCAUGCUACAAUGGCCGGUACAAAGGGCUGCAAUACCGCGAGGUGGAGCGAAUCCCAAAAAGCCGGUCCCAGUUCGGAUUGAGGUCUGCAACUCGACCUCAUGAAGUCGGAGUCGCUAGUAAUCGCAGAUCAGCAACGCUGCGGUGAAUACGUUCCCGGGUCUUGUACACACCGCCCGUCAAGUCAUGAAAGUCGGUAACACCUGAAGCCGGUGGCCCAACCCUUGUGGAGGGAGCCGUCGAAGGUGGGAUCGGUAAUUAGGACUAAGUCGUAACAAGGUAGCCGUACCGGAACCUGCGGCUGGAUCACCUCCUU
rnacentral:rRNA from 1 species